AGUGAACGCUGGCGGUAGGCCUAACACAUGCAAGUCGAACGGCAGCACAGUAAGAGCUUGCUCUUACGGGUGGCGAGUGGCGGACGGGUGAGGAAUACAUCGGAAUCUACUUUUUCGUGGGGGAUAACGUAGGGAAACUUACGCUAAUACCGCAUACGACCUACGGGUGAAAGCAGGGGAUCUUCGGACCUUGCGCGAUAGAAUGAGCCGAUGUCGGAUUAGCGAGUUGGCGGGGUAAAGGCGCACCAAGGCGACGAUCCGUAGCUGGUCUGGGAGGAUGGCCGCCCCCCCUGGAACUGGACCACGGUCCAGCCUCCUACGGGAGGCAGCAUAGGGGAAUAUUGGACAAUGGGCGCAGGCCUGCCCCAGCCAUACCGCGUGGGUGAAGAGGGCCUUCGGGUUGUAAAGCCCUUUUGUUGGGAAAAAAAAGCAGCAGGUUAAUACCCCGCUGUUCUGACGGUACCCAAAGAAUAAGCACCGGCUAACUUCGUG
rnacentral:rRNA from 1 species